UUUGCAUCUUGUAUGUGGUUGGGAAUACAUUCUCAAAUCUAUUUGUGGGCCCAAUAAGCCAUGUGACCAUGGCAAGUUUCCUCAUGGCUCUGUAUGUCAAUGUACUCAUCUGUGAGCUAGAGGCAGGGGUACCAGAUGGUCUUUCAACUCCCUUUGACUCUACACAUACAUUUCCAUCUACAAACUAAGUCUGAAUUCCUUUAGAAAAGGUGUCAAGAGAUUUGUGCCUGGCCAAGACCUUGGAGGAUGAUGGUGUUGCACUUCGUCUAGUUAUUCAGGCCUGCCAGACCAACUCCAGUUCCACUCACAGUGCUCCACAUGCAUCGCUGCAGCCCUGGGCACUCUCCUGCCAAUCCCGAUGCAACUCUGGCAAGUCCAAAUCACUGCUCAACUCAGAGAAGGAGAAGCUGCAAGAAAGCUCUGCUUUCCCCUGCAUCUUGGGGCAGCCCUGUUUGCCUCACAGACAGAGAAGAACCGAGCCCUAUAUGAUAUUUUCACCUAAUACGAAGCUGAACUUUGGUAACAGUAUUAAGCUUUACAAUGUUCCUUAUGGUCUCCACAUUUUGUUUCACUCUUUUGAAAUCUGUGAUCUCCACUAGAGAUCUCUAAAUAUAAUAUUCAGAAUUUGGAAUAUCAGCAAUUGGAGGUCACACUAGCAUUGUGAUUGAAUUGGGGCUGGGUGGCAGAGAGAGAGUUCAGUUGUACUUGGGCAGGCUCUUUGCUUGUCUAUAGGGCUUUAAAGUUUCCCAGGACUAAACCAUUUGAUUAGCAUAUGAUUUUUCCGUAAACAUUGUCCACAGAUUAUGAUCAAAAGUAGUGUGCACUUAAACAAAGACCUGUUAGAAUGAACACAUUUUCUUUCUUUCCUUUGCUGAGUCUUUCCUUAGGCUCACAAUCCUAAGUCUUGGGGGAUGUUUGACGAUGUCAAC
rnacentral:lncRNA from 1 species